GGCUGUUGUCUCUGUUUUAUGUUUUACACCAAGUGCAAUCAUAGCCCUUUUAACUGGAAUUCCGGUCCUAUAUCAUUGGCAAGAAUUGCAAAUAAAUGGCGUUUAUACUAUUUCUUUACUGAUCUUAUAUUAUUUUGUAGGUUCUUCAGUACCCUCGA